CCUACGGGUGGCAGCAGUGGGGAAUAUUGGGCAAUGGGCGCAAGCCUGACCCAGCAAUGCCGCGUGAAGGAAGAAGGCUUUCGGGGUGUAAACUUCUUUGACAGGGGAAGAGCAGAAGACGGUACCCUGAAAACAAGCCACGGCUAACUACGUGCCAGCAGCCGCGGUAAGACGUAGGUGGCAAGCGUUGUCCGGAUUUACUGGGUGUAAAGGGCGUGUAGCCGGGAAGGCAAGUCAGAUGUGAAAUCUGGAGGCUCAACCUCCAAAUUGCAGUUGAAACUGUUUUUCUUGAGUACUGGAGAGGCAGACGGAAUUCCUUGUGUAGCGGUGAAAUGCGUAGAUAUAAGGAGGAACACCAGUGGCGAAGGCGGUCUGCUGGACAGCAACUGACGGUGAGGCGCGAAAGCGUGGGGAGCAAACAGGAUUAGAUACCCUAGUAGUC
rnacentral:rRNA from 1 species